UCACUUCUCAAAACCAUGGCUGCUGG
rnacentral:piRNA from 1 species